rnacentral:tRNA from 1 species
GGAGAUGUAUCGAAGUGGCCAUAACGAGAACGACUCGAAAUCGUUUUGUCGGGUAACCGGCACGUGGGUUCGAAUCCCACCGUCUCCG